AUGACAGCAGCCUUGGCAACCUGAGCAGACUGCUGAGCUGUCACUAGACUGUGAGAGGAUUUGAUAGGCAGACAGGCUUUGUUUAGAGACCAUGUGACCCAUUAUACACAGAAUCUGCUGGCUGGCGCACCUUAUCGUAAGGAAGUCUCUGGCUAUGAGGUGACGAACUCAUUUACAUCUGCCUCUGUAAAAACAUAGAAAUGUCUGACAGCAAAUGUUGUAGUGUUUGAAACAAGCUCCAAAAAUAUCUGAGCCAUGCCAGUGUGUGAAGAGUUCAUCUGACUUCAGGUCAUCGGCUGAAUUGAAAAUGCACCACUGACUCUGCUGUCAUUUCCAUGACCUCUGACCUGGGAAACAGCUGUUAGCAGGCCUGGCACAUGCUGUCCUUCAACGUAAUACAGCAGUAAACUAAGAAACAGUAGGAAUGCAGGUUAUGGUCCUCUCUGAAUACUGCAGGGUCCUUAAAAAUAAACCUGUUGAAAACCUUUAAUACCUUGGGCCUAAACUUGUAAGCAGCCUUUUAUAGUUGAAGCUUAAAUAGCAGUAACCCUCAGAAUGUAUA